rnacentral:rRNA from 1 species
UACGAAGGGAGCUAGCGUUGUUCGGAAUUACUGGGCGUAAAGGGCGCGUAGGCGGACAUCUAAGUCAGGGGUGAAAUCCCAGGGCUCAACCCUGGAAUUGCCUUUGAUACUGGACGUCUCGAGUUCGGGAGAGGUGAGUGGAAUUCCGAGUGUAGAGGUGAAAUUCGUAGAUAUUCGGAGGAACACCAGAAGCGAAGGCGGCUCACUGGCCCCGAUACUGACGCUGAGGCGCGAAAGCGUGGGGAGCAAACAGGG